rnacentral:rRNA from 1 species
CCUACGGGAGGCAGCAGUGAGGAAUAUUGGUCAAUGGCCGGGAAGCUGAACCAGCCAAGUCGCGUGAGGGAAGACGGCCCUACGGGUUGUAGACCUCUUUUGUCAGGGAGCAAGGUUCAGGUCGGGACCUGCUGUGAGAGUAACUGAAGAAAAAGCAUCGGCUAACUCCGUGCCAGCAGCCUCAGUCAUACGGAGGAUGCGAGCGUGAGCCGGUUUUAGUGGGUUUAAAGGGUGCGCAGGCGGAGGCACAAGUCAGCGGUAAAAUCGCGGGGCUCAACCCCGCUCCGCCGUUGAAACUGUGGCCCUUGAGUGCGCGAAGGGUAGGCGGAAUGCGUGGUGUAGCGGUGAAAUGCAUAGAUAUCACGCAGAACUCCGAUCGCGAAGGCAGCCUACCGGCGCGCAACUGACGCUCAUGCACGAAAGCGUGGGUAUCGAACAGGAUUAGAUACCCGAGUAGUC